UCCCUGGUGGCUCAGAUGGUAAAGCAUCUGUCUGCAAUACAGGAGACCCGGGUUUGAUCCCUGGGUUGGGAA
rnacentral:tRNA from 1 species